GGGCCGCGGUAUUGUGACCGUGCGAAGGUAGCAUAAUCAUUAGUCUUUUAAUUGAAGGCUUGUAUGAACGGUUGGAUGAAAAAUGCUCUGUCUUUUUUUUUGAUUGAAUUUAACUUUUGAGUGAAAAGGCUUAAAUUUUUUAGUGGGACGAUAAGACCCUAUAAAACUUGAUAUAAUUUAUUUAUAUUUGAAGGAUUAAGUGUAAAUUUAAUCUAAAUUUAUUAUAUUCCGUUGGGGAGAUGAUGAUAUAAUUUGUAACUGUUAAAUUAAUUGAAUAAUUAUUUUUAGGGUGUGAUCCUCUACUAGGGAUUAAAAGAUUAAGUUACUUUAGGGAUAACAGCGUAAUUUUCUUUGAGAGUUCUUAUCGAUGAGAGUAGUUGCGACCUCGAUGUUGAAUUAAAAUUUUAGAUUGGUGCAGGUGCUUUUCUGGUAGGUCUGUUCGACCUUUAAAAUUUU
rnacentral:rRNA from 1 species